rnacentral:rRNA from 1 species
UAAGGGUGAACCUGCGGAGGGAUCAUU